UUGCUUCAGGGUACUUUACCCUCAAUAUAUUAUCCAAAUAAAAAUCUAAGCAAGAGAGACAAAAUCCAAUGAUUUCCAUGUAUAAUAAUAAUAUUCACUAUUACCAUCCCUUAGAUGCAAAGAUAAAGCCUCUGAUUCACCAUCUAAAAGGGGCACAUGCUUUUAUUCUCAAGAGACAGAAGCCUAGAUGUGUUAUGCUAAUCAGACCACAGUCCUCUUUGUUGGUUCCUUGCAAAGAACAACUGUGGACAAUUUUAGGAUGGCUUUUCAUGAAUGGGGUGUCCCAUUACCAUGAAAAACACCAAAGCUAGCUAGCUACCCACACAGCAUAGAUAGUAGCCAUCUCUAUGCUUAAACUAAAGAAUCAUGCUUCAAUAAACUGAGCUACUUAUUCACAGACAGGGUUGAAUUGACUCUGGUUCACACUGUCCAAAUUCAUGAAGGAAAAUUUCCAUUUGCCUAUGGAAAUACAAACCUGUCUGAUUUAUAAUUUGCAGUUGCCAUCAUGAUAUAAUAUAAGCUUACAAAGUAGAGUUUGCUUGAUAUUCCAGAUCUCUUCCAACCAAACCGAUACAUUAAUGUUUCACUCUUUGCUGGAGUUUACUUUAAAAGCCUCCCUUUCCCUUCAACAUUAUCAAUCUUUCCUACUCAUCUCUGUUUAAUAGGUUUAAGAACAACUUGGGCAAUAUUUGGAUUACUAUUACAUUUCUUUUUAAAUUAUUCAGUUCAUGCUCCAAGUGGAAAAUCGGUAGUGUCUUUG
rnacentral:lncRNA from 1 species